AUACGGAGGGGGCUAGCGUUGUUCGGAAUUACUGGGCGUAAAGGGCACGUUGGCGGAUCGGACAGUCAGGCGUGAAAGCCCCGGGCUUAACCUGGGAACUGCGUUUGAUACUGCCGAUCUUGAGUCCGGGAGAGGGUAGUGGAAUUCCCAGUGUAGAGGUGAAAUUCGUAGAUAUUGGGAAGAACACCGGUGGCGAAGGCGGCUACCUGGCCCGGUACUGACGCUAAGGUGCGAAAGCGUGGGGAGCAAACAGGAUUAGAUACCCCGGUAGUCC
rnacentral:rRNA from 1 species